CCGAUAGUGAACCAGUACCGUGAGGGAAAGGCGAAAAGAACCCCGGCGAGGGGAGUGAAAAAGAACCUGAAACCGUGUACGUACAAGCAGUGGGAGCACCCUUUGGGUGUGACUGCGUACCUUUUGUAUAAUGGGUCAGCGACUUAUAUUCUGUAGCAAGGUUAACCGAAUAGGGGAGCCGGAGGGAAACCGAGUCUUAACCGGGCGUUAAGUUGCAGGGUAUAGACCCGAAACCCGGUGAUCUAGCCAUGGGCAGGUUGAAGGUUGGGUAACACUAACUGGAGGACCGAACCGACUAAUGUUGAAAAAUUAGCGGAUGACCUGUGGCUGGGGGUGAAAGGCCAAUCAAACCGGGAGAUAGCUGGUUCUCCCCGAAAGCUAUUUAGGUAGCGCCUCGUGAAUUCAUCUCCGGGGGUAGAGCACUGUUUCGGCUAGGGGGCCAUCCCGGCUUACCAACCCGAUGCAAACUGCGAAUACCGGAGAAUGUUAUCACGGGAGACACACGGCGGGUGCUAACGUCCGUCGUGAAGAGGGAAACAACCCAGACCGCCAGCUAAGGUCCCAAAGUCAUGGUUAAGUGGGAAACGAUGUGGGAAGGCCCAGACAGCCAGGAUGUUGGCUUAGAAGCAGCCAUCAUUUAAAGAAAGCGUAAUAGCUCACUGGUCGAGUCGGCCUGCGCGGAAGAUGUAACGGGGCUAAACCAUGCACCGAAGCUGCGGCAGCGACACUGUGUGUUGUUGGGUAGGGGAGCGUUCUGUAAG
rnacentral:rRNA from 1 species